AACGAACGCUGGCGGCAGGCUUAACACAUGCAAGUCGAACGCGUGUAGCAAUACACGAGUGGCGCACGGGUGAGUAACGCGUGGAUAUCUGCCUUUUGGUUCGGAAUAACCCCGGGAAACUGGGGCUAAUACCGGAUGGUUCCUUCGGGAUAAAGAUUUAUCGCCAAAAGAUGAGUCCGCGUACGAUUAGCUAGUUGGUGAGGUAAUGGCUCACCAAGGCGACGAUCGUUAGCUGGUCUGAGAGGACGAUCAGCCACACUGGGACUGAGACACGGCCCAGACUCCUACGGGAGGCAGCAGUGGGGAAUUUUGGACAAUGGGCGCAAGCCUGAUCCAGCCAUUCCGCGUGCAGGAUGAAGGCCUU
rnacentral:rRNA from 1 species